rnacentral:lncRNA from 1 species
GUGUUUAUGCCCCCGUUACUUAGGGGUUCGGCAAAAAAGACCGAUAGAAUAAGUACUGGGCUUACAAAAGAAUAAGUUCUGGGGUCGAGUUGCUCGAUGAUUAAAGGCGGUGCUUCAGCAUGGCCGCAGUCAAAUGACUGAAACAUAGACGCACACACACACACACACACAAACAUAUCACACUCACUCAUUUAUGCACAGCGAAACAACACGUACGCGGUUUCAUUUCGCUUGUUAGCCUGAUAACUAAUAUUGUUCAAGGACGGCAAAAUCACAACACCACAUCUUGUCGUAUGCUCCGCUCUUAUAAACAGACCUAAACGCAAAUGUGUCCGUCUAACGUCAGGAGCGUUCAUACUCGAACAGUAGAUUAUUUUAGGCUUACACCGUUUUCGCCCGACUUAUUCCGAUCAUUUACUCCAUGUAAGGGCGAUAAGCAAUGUUAAUUUUUUUUCCACCCGCCCAACAUCCUCCUAUAAUCAUUAGUUUUUACUUUCUAUUUGUUCCAGUCAUUAAACUGUGGCCAUGCUGGGACAUCGCCUUAAAGAGCCCAGAUUUGAACUCAGAAUGUAAAGUGUUGAUACUCUAACGGUAUUGCUAUCUCAUCGCAUUGUUGUAAUAAUAAUAAUAAUGAUAAUAAUAAUAAUAAUAAUAAUAAUAAUAACAAUUUCUUGCAGAGGAAAAUCGUAGCGGAUACGCUGCGGUAUUUUCCCGGCCCUUUCCGUUCUGAGCUCAAAUCCAACCAUGGCCAUCUUCGGAAGAUUUGAUCCGGAGCUCAGGGUCUUGGGUGUCUUUAGGGGAAACCACUCCGUCACAAGGUCCUCUGUUUGAGGAUGGACUGGAAACGCCUAUACAUGGUCACGUGAUCUGCUAGAUAUAGCAGCCAAAUGUCAUUCAGAUCACACCUACAUUUUUAGAUCGUGCUAAUUUGGAUACGUCUAAAGUAAACGACUUGGCCAUAGCUGGAACGCCUUUGGUCAGCAUUGCUCGAAUAGAUCUACAGGCAAUGCCAAAAAAUAAUAAAAUUAAUUAAUGCAAUGUAAGUUACAUUUUAAAUUAGGUAUAUUAAUUAAAAUUUACAGACACAGGCAUGGCAGUGUGGUAAGAAGUUUACUUCCGACCACAUGGUCCUGGGUUCAGUCCAAAUGCAUAGCACCUUGGGCGCGUUUCUUCUAUGGCCUCGGGCUGACCAAAGUCAUUUGAGUGGAUUAGGUAGACGGAAACUGAGAGAAGCCCGCCGUAUGUAUGUAUGUAUGUAUGUAUGUCUUUUGGCCUCCACUACCACUGGACAACCGAUGUUGGUACGUUUACGUCCCUGUGAAUUAGCGGUUCAGCAUACAGACCGAUAGAAUAAGUACCAGGCUUUAAAAAAAAAAAGAAAAAACAUGCUGGCGUCCAUUCAUUCUCUAUCGAAGGCGGUGCCCCAGUAUGGCCGCAUUAUGGCUGAAACAAUUAAAAUACAAAAGAUGUCAAAUAAAAAAAAAACACAUAUACACAUAUAAAAGUACUAAUUAUAAAUACAGUUGCCGAUAUCCUAAUAUACUUAAUAAUAUAAUAUAUUUCUUGACGAAUCUGAUUAAAAUGUAACAACGAAAUUAUUUUAUAUCGAUCUCAGAAUUUACAAGAGAGAUAUUUCACAUGAGCAAUUCAAAAAUUAAUAAAGCUCUAUAAAGUUUAAAUAUAAUUUGGAGUCAGUAAAAUGGUAAAUGGUUAAUUGGUUAGACUGAUCGUAAAUUAGAUUAAUUAAUUUUCUCCUCAAUCGAAUAAAAUUUAGUGGAUCCCUAUAUAUAUAUAUAUAAUGAGAAAAAAUAUUUGACUGCAUUCCAAUGCAGGGGAGAUUACUCUCUGUCUCUAUAGAGUUCUACUUGUCUCUAUUCGUUGUAGCGGCAGCCAUUUAAAAAGAAGCCGUGUUUUUCCAACAAAAAAUAUAUAGCUAUGUAUUAUCAUAAAUAAAUAAUGGAAUAAAUAAAUAUAUUAAUUAAUUAAUGAAUCGAUUAAUUAAUCGAUUAAUUAAUUGAUUAAUUGAUUGAUUAAGUAAUUAAUUGAUUUAUUAAAGUUGGAAUUCAUUUACCUUCGUGCAUAUUGAUUUCAUUGGCAAAUAAUAGUAAAUCGCCUAUUAAUUUUGUUUUUAAUUAAUUUUGCAUCGAUUUUCCUUUCAAUAUAAAUGUAUAAAUGUAAAGAGCAGUGUUCUAGUUACUGGUCUGUUGAAUAUUUAGCUUUGGCCAUUUAGGUUCUGAGAUCGAAUCCUACGUAAAUACGCUCUCUCUCUCUCUCUCUCUCUUCUUUUCUCUCUAUUCUUUGCUGAUCAGUAAAUUAUAUAAGAACAAAAAGACGACGAGCUGGUAGAAUCGUUAGCACACCGGGCAAAAUGCAUUUCGUCCGUCUUCACAUUCUGCGUUCAAAUUCCGCCGAGGUCGAUUUUGCCUUUUAUACUUCUGGGGUCGAUAAAAUUAGUUAUGUCAAUUUCUGGAGUCGACGUAAACGACUAACAUCCAGCCAC